GGCGAGCGCUGGCGGCGUGCCUAACACAUGCAAGUCGAGCGGUAAGGCCCCUUCGGGGGUACACGAGCGGCGAACGGGUGAGUAACACGUGAGCAACCUACCCUCAACUUCGGGAUAAGCCUCGGAAACGGGGUCUAAUACCGGAUAUCACUUCCUGCCUCAUGGUGGGGGUUGAAGUUACUGGCGGUUGGGGAGUGGCGUCGCGGCCUAUCAGCUUGUUGGUGGGGUAAGUGGCCUACCAAGGCGUCG
rnacentral:rRNA from 1 species